CUGAUUCAAACUUCCUGUCUGAUUUAUGAAGUAAACCAACUCUAAAGAUCAUGUUUCAAAGACUUUCUCCCAUCUCAGUGUGUCAAAGUUCCCUAACAGUUUCAUAAGAAUUCCGGGCAGUGCAUACACCAAAAUGUAUCACCAUAUUAAGCUAUAGUGCACUGUGGAAGGGCCAACCUUCAAGUGUCCAAGUUCAGAGAGAACUCAAGGUCCCAUGGCAAGGCUCGCGGGAGGGGGGCAAGACUUAGAGACAAGGAGAGAGUGUAAGUGCAGAGUUCUGAAAAGGGGAAAGGGGAAGGGAAAUAAUAUACAUAGAUACACAUAAGGGCAUAGGAAAUU
rnacentral:lncRNA from 1 species